rnacentral:misc_RNA from 1 species
UAGCGGGUGGGAUUCCCGUCGAGUAAGAACUAGCCAUUCGCUCGUAGCGAGUCUUGGAGGGCUAAAGGUAACUUUAGUCUUUAAGCGUAGACAGUUAGGUGGCGGGCCGAAAGCCAAAUGGUUAAAGGGA